GAAAAGAAAACACCAACACUCCAUGGCUAAUAAGAAUAAAACAAAUAAAGAUAUGAGGCAAAAAAAGUCUUUGUUUGGCAGCUUGGACAAACUUUGUAGCACCUGAUCGUCCAUGCCACUCUUGUUACAGGACAUGAGUAUGGGCACAUCAUGGAACAUUUUAGGGCAGUUGUUGGUUUUCCUCUUGGUGAUCCAUCAAUGAAGUGGCCAACAUCAUGUAAUAACAUUUUAGGGGAAGAUGUAGGUAUAUGUCUUUUUAAUGAAUAAUGUAAUCAUAUGUAUGAAUAUGAAAUAAAGUUUGUUAUUUGUAUGACAAUAACUUUUAUGCAAUGGAUUGUAUUUUUUGUAUAUGGUAUUUUAUUUUCUGUUAUGAGACAUUAAAUGCAAAUUUAAUUUGAAAAUUAGUAAAUCUGUAAAUAAUAUUUUUUUUAACAUUUAAAAUUAUGAUACGCAAAAAUGUGUGUCAUCUUCAUUUAUGACAUGGCCUUUUUUGACAGGGGCUUUCUUGAUACGCAUUGCGUGUCAUUA